AUACGUAGGGAGCGAGCGCUGUCCGGAAUUACUGGGCGUAAAGGGCGCGUAGGUGGGCGUUUAAGUCAGAUGUGAAAACUCCGGGCUCAACCUGGAGGCUGCAUUUGAAACUGGGCGUCUUGAGGGCAGGAGAGGAAAGUGGAAUUCCUAGUGUAGCGGUGAAAUGCGUAGAUAUUAGGAGGAACACCAGUGGCGAAGGCGACUUUCUGGACUGUACCUGACACUGAGGCGCGAAAGCGUGGGGAGCGACCGGGAUUAGAUACCCCGGUAGUCCACGCCGUAAACGAUGGAUACUAGGUGUAGGAGGUAUCGACCCCUUCUGUGCCGCAGUUAACACAAUAAGUAUCCCGCCUGGGGAGUACGGCCGCAAGGUUGAA
rnacentral:rRNA from 1 species